rnacentral:misc_RNA from 1 species
UGUAACAUACUUUCUAUGAAUACUUAACACAAAGAUGACACACUUAAGUAAUUGGAAUAACAAGAAAUACAAGGGUAUAUGGUCUAUGACUAAAGACACUAAAACAUUAAAGAAUUAUUAAUCGAAGAAAGUUAAUGUUUUAAAGAGAAAGAAAAAACAGAGGAGAUCCUGGGAAAUUUGUAACAAAAGAUAGAGCCAAAGAUUAAAACUAUAAUGAUUAAUGAAUGGGAGUAGGUGAAGUAGAUAAAAAGAGCAAGCAUUGGCGCACGUGGGAGCCUCUGGAUGUCGAGGCUGCAGUGUUGGCAGUGUUGGUGGCAGUAAUGGCCCCUGCUCUGACAGAAGACGGUCCUCAAAAGCCUGAAAAUUUGCUCCCAUCUCUACCAGCUGUGGGGUUUUUAUCCCCUGAGCAGGCUACGCAGGUCUGUCGCGAUCGAGAAAUUUUGGCAAAGUUCGUUGUAUCCGCGAACGUUCAGCCAUCAAAAAUCGACGAGCAGUACCUGCAUGGUGUAUCUAAAGAUCUUAUUCGUUAUGUUAUUAAUUCAAAUUACGCCAAUAGUCUUGACAAUUUAUCUACUUACUCACACAGCUCUGACUUGAUCUUAAGGGAGAUUUUUACAGAGCAGGACUGUAAACGGCCGGUGACGCCGGACAGUCCCAAAAGAAAGGAGACUGAUACUAUAAUGAACGACCCAUCUAUGGGUGAUCAGGCGGACAACAUGGGCUUCUUGAAAACGAACGACGAUUUAUCUUUGGUGGAAUCUGCUACUGUUGAAGGAGAUAAUAAAAAUUUGGACGUUGAUCAAAUAAUGGCUUUUGGUACAGAGAUUAAUACGGACAACGAGCAGUGCAAUAUAAGUACUGUUGGUGAUAUUGGACAAAAUGUUGAAGAAAUUCUUCAAGUUAUUAAAUCUAUAGAAUGCACUGAAAAUGCUGAAAAUACUGCUGGUAGUUCUGAACCUGUACAAGGUUCCAUGGACAAUGUGGACAGCGUAGAAAUGUUUCCAAUUCCUGAAGAAGGAUUUUCAUCGUUUGCAAGAGACUUGCUUACUGAUGCUGAUGUAAUGAGCCUUUGUAAUGAAAACAUUAAUAUUCCAGAAACAGUAGACCAGCAAAAAACCAAUAGUUUACGUUUACAACAAGAAACUGUUGCGCAGAAACAAUUUGAAAAUGAGAGGAAGUGCGCAUUUUUACUUAGAAGACUGAGAAAGCUUCAAGCACGGCUUGUUGGCAGACAUGUUGCUGAAGAGAAUACAGGUGUGCUUGAACUUGCUCAUCAUGGUGUUAAAAAGUGUUUAUUUCAAGAAUUGGUCAAUAUUAGUUCCAAAUCUAAUGUCAGAAAUUUUCCUGAAAUUAGUGGUAGUUUGAAUUUAUUUUUACAAAAAGUUGAAAAGAUGUGUGUUACUCAAAGUAAUAAUGCGCAUCGUCAACGUUUUUGUUAUCGUUAUUUUGGUGGUGGAUCACGUGAUAAUUUGGGCAGUACAUCUGGUAGUAAUGGUAACAGAAUGCCAGUUUUUGGUAUGCCUCAAGUUAAACUCAACAGUGAAGAAGUUGAAAGUGUGGUAGGACCUUUAGCAACACAGUUACAUAUUGUAGAAUCUAAUUUGGAUUCGGAUUGUACAGCAUCUAGUAGUGGCGGAGAAAGCUGUGAUGAAAUGCAAUCAUUUAAUAAUCCGCAUCAGCAGCAAUUACCAAUAUCUAAAAGAGCAGCAUGGAGAUAUUCUCAAGACCGUGCAGGUAUAGCAUCAAGGUGGAUCUGGUUGCAAGCACAAAUAUCAGAUUUAGAAUAUAAAAUUAGACAACAAAAUGAUGCCCAACGUCAAGUUAGGGCAUUAAAAGGCUUGGUUAUGCUUGACAAUGCUGAAACAGUAAAUGGAUAUAGCGGUGUUUUGCCUGGUUCUACUGGUCGAUAUAAUUUAUCUGAAAAUGAAUUACCAGCUAGCAGAACUCGUCCAUUUUUAUGGAAUUUUUAUAGAAAACGAAAACUAUUACAAGUUGAAAGGCUACACGAAUUUUCUAAACGUGCGGCUAAAGCAUCCACAGUAAGAUGUAACUGUGAUCAUACACUGCCUGCGUGUGCUUUGUGCACAGGAAGGCUAGAUCCAACUCAAACACAAGAAUCAAUCGAGCAGCUUUCUGUUCAAGAGAGGCUAGCACUUGUUGACCCUUGUUAUCAUCCAGUUCUAUCCUUCCCAGAUGAUAUUGUUCAAGGAACUCAUUUAGAAGCUAUUAUGAAAUCAGCCGAGUGGCAACAAAAAAUGCUAAGGGGAAGUACGCGUAUUACUCGAAUAAAAGAUAAAGAUAGUAAUGAAAGGAGAAACAAAAAACUUCCUGGACAUAGAGCAAAAUAUACUGCACGUUUAAAGCAGUCUUCUUCUAGCAUCUUCACAGCACGAAUUAAAAAAAAGAUGUUGAAAGGAAAAAGGAAUAGACUAGGCCACGAAAGAAACGCAAAUGGUUUAAGCCGGAAAAGAGUACCAAAAUUGCCAACCGAGGAUUACGAAGAAGUUAAUGCACUUUCUGGUUCCAGUAAACAUUCAUCUCCAGUGCCUUCUCCAUUACAACAACAUACCAAUUCUACACUGGAAAAAAAUUCAGUAAAAGAAAGAAAUUCAACUUCUCAUCACGGGCGUUUGAGACAAAACUCUUACGAUAUAGACAAUAUUGUCAUCCCGUACAGCGUAGCAGCUUCAACGAGGCUUGAAAAAUUGCAAUACAAAGAAAUUUUAACUCCAAAAUGGCGAUUGUGCGAGGAUCGACCAAAAAGUGACGUAAAAAAUGGUAUUAUGCAUAGGCCUAGUCAAGACAGCGAUUUUGAAGAUAUGUCGGAUGAGAUAAUUGCUUUGAGACAUGAACGAAGUGAACGAGAAGAGAAUAAACGUUUUAUGACGUAUCUCAAUACACCACAUCAAACACGUAUUCGUCACAAUCGUCGAGCAGACAGUAGGGCAGACAGUGGUGCAAACACACCAGAUCCGAUGUCUCCCCACGCCAGUGACUUUGGUGGAGAUGUUACGUCUCCGAUCAUAUCUCCACCUGCAACUCCUUUACAAGUACAGGAGACAGAACAUCAACAACAAAAUUUGGAUACACACCGACGUCGUGCCAUAUCCGUUUUAAGGAUAGGAAAGGACGACGUUGGAACUUCUUAUAACGAAGAUGAGAACGAGAUUUUACCGUAUGAACCACGCGUAUUUCCACUGUCCGAGGAAAUUUAUGACAAAAUGGUCGAAGUAAUGCCAGACGGACAUUGGCAAACUUCAUCGGUAUCUUUGUGCUCUCGAGACGAAGAAAAAGACGAUGUAUGUAUAUCGUUUAAAAAUAAUUUAACAUGAGACACUAAUUAAAUUCUUUUUGAUAAAUUAAUAUUCGAGUAUUCGUACUGUGAUUAUUAAUAUAACUUUGAGCCAAAUUUCAUGGCUCCUCGAGGCUACUUCUGGAUGGGGAAUUGGAAUCUCCUGAAUCUGAUUCAACAGAAUCUGCUUGUUGUGACAUAGAAGGAGAGGAUCCUAAUGAUCCUGAAUGGACGGUAGCUGACAAUAGGGAUACUGAAAAGGAAAGAAUACGUCCGACUGCUAAAAGAUAGGAUAAAGGUUAUAAACAAUACAGUACAUCAUCUACAUCGUGUCGUUAUUAUAUGCAGAAGCUACCUGUCAAUUGUUAUAUAUACCUGCCGGUCAUGUAAUAUGCACCUUAAGUUAAUGGUAUUACGAAUCUGUAAAGUGUAUUAUAAAUAUAAAUUUUAUAACUUCAUUUUGCUUAAAUCAAUGGAAAAACCUUAAUUGUUUAUUUUUGUUUUCAAAUAUAACUAUUUUGUCUAGUGUUAGAAUUGUGCGAAUGUAAUUGCUUUAGCAAAAAGGUAUAUACAUAUAAAAAAAAAAAAGUAUAGAGUAUAUACGCGUGUAAUCUUCACUAGAAUGUUAUGUCUCAUUUAGACUUUUUAAAGUUAGAAGAAUCUCACAAGAUGAAUCAGUUUUCACACUGACGGACGUGUAUUUAUAUCAUAUGAAAUUUAUAACAAAGUUAAUUAAAGACGAUUGAAAUAUUUCUGUUAAUGCGUGGACAAUAUUUUCUUCUUUUUAUUUUAUUUUUUUUAAUUCGACUGAAACGAGAAAAGUUGCUUGAAAGAUAGCCAGAAUUAUAUUUGUUAAGAAUACGAAUCUACUUGAUCACUGUGCCUCCUUUCUUUAUUAUCUUUAACAUACUACUCUGUAUUCAUUGUCAUUAUUUGUAAUUAUAAUUUUUGCGAAUGAUUUUUUAGACUGUAUGUUACAGCCCAUGGCAGUUUUUUUCAAAGGGCUCAGCUCAUACUUUUGUAAAAAUGAAUUUUUAAUUUGUAGUACUGUGGGUAAAAACUUAAAAUCAAUUAAAUUAUUCUCAUAUUUUUCUUUUUCUUUUUUUUUCUUCAAAGAACUACAUCGUUGAUAUAAUUAAAGGGUAGUUUUGCGAGAUAUAGUUUUUACUUAAUCUACACAUUGGGGCAUAUCACUACAUUUGCUAUAAUUCGCUAAGUAUUAUAAUAAUAUAUAGAUAUAAGUUAUAUCUGACAUGUAAAAUCGAUGUUUAAUCUUAUUUAUGCCAUAUGAAAAUAAUUCUUUCUAAGUACCCAUAUAUGAUCGAUCAUUGUGAAAUAACACAAUGAACGCAACACAUAUUUUUUUUGGUCAUAUAAAUUCACUAUCAAAGUAUAUAUAUAUAUAUAUAUUGUUA